GCGGGUGUAGCUCAGGUGGUUAGAGCGCCUGGUUGUGGCCCAGGAGGUCGUGGGUUCAAGUCCCAUCACUCGCCCCA
rnacentral:tRNA from 1 species